UAUAAACUAUGGAAAUGAAAUGCUCAGAGGAAAAUGUGCUUGGAAUUUUGUGCACAGUCCUGGUCCCAGUCCUCUAAACUGGUUGCUAUUCCUUUUAGUAAAAGGAAGACUUUUCUGGUUUGAACCUUUUACAACUAUGGGAACAGAGUGUUUACUUUCCUGCACAACAUUGAGUGGGACUCCAUAUCCCCUUUGAAGUUCUCUAACCCCUGUGCAUAAAAGAAGCUCAGCUGCUCCUUCAUUAGAAGUUGACAGUCCUGGAUCUAACUCCUGACGUCCAGUGGAGUCACCUACACCAUUUUGGGAGGAAGUAACCUCUAGCAUGUACUUCCCAUAUGCUGGGUGGCAUCACUGCCUCGCAAUAGCCCCAUGCAGCUGAUGUUCACAUUGGUUUUGCAGGGAAACCUGGAACCCACGGUGACACCAUAAGCAGUGAAGCCCCACACCUUUCUUCUAGCUUUUUUGAUUCCUUAAUGAUUAAUCAUACUCUCCCUGCUAGCUAGAUGCCCUGGCUACAGGCACCCAUGUUUCUAAAGCUUCCAUUACAAGAAUAUUAAGGAAGCUAGUAAAUACUUUGAGACAAGAGUUGAUUUUGGUUGAUUGUAGAGGUAGCAAGUUGGGCAGGAGUGGGAAACCAGGGAAGCAGAAGAUAUGCCUCACUUGGGACUGCUGAUGAAUUAGGGACAAACUGCCCCUUUGCCUGCACAGUGCCCUUACAGCACUGGAAGAUGGGUCUUAGAUGCUUUUUCCAGAAGAGAAGUUUUGAUGUUCAGAGAGUUCUUGACAGCUAAUAGCAACAGGAUGAGAACCUUGUUCCUCUAGUUCUAUAUUUUGAUAAUGCUGUCGUGCGGUCUGGUGACCUGAUGCCUCUGUUGUUUUCCCCUUUCUUUCUUUUUUUUUUAGGUUGACACAAUAUCUUUAAUUUGUUUAUUUUUAAUGUGGUGCUAAGGAUCGAACCCAGUGCCUCACACAUGCUAGGUGAGCACUCUACCACUGAGCCACAACCCAAGCCCUGUUUUCCCAUUUCUUACAUGGUAAUAGUGAAUCAUAUCAAGUAAGCAUAUAGUAUACCCUUCAUGUUGACAAGGUGAUGCUUUUGAUUUGCUCAACUUUUGUUAGUCCCUAUAAUUCUGGACAGGUUAUGGCUGGGGUUAGGAGGGGCUUGGAAUAGAGUUGACCAUGUCAAGCCAGUUAGUUGAGAUGAAGGUGGGGGCUACAUAACAUCUAAAACGAGUAUAUAAAAAGCCACAGCUUGCUUACAGUACACAUUCCUUCUGGAACAUGAAGCAAAUGAAAACCAGUCUUUUCUGGAUGUACAUUAGUAACUUUCCAAGGGCAGUCCUUUACCUCCCUGCCUUUUCCCCCUUUGAUGAGCAAUCAGUGUCAAAUGGCAUUAAAACAGUGGUUUCAUGAGGUGGAGGAUCAAGCAGCAGAGUUCUUAGCUACAUCUUUACUCCCUUUUGUUUUCUUCUGACCUUUCGAAAUCUGAUCAAAGCACUGGAUUUGAUUUUUUUUUUUUUUUCUUAAUGAACCUAUGCAGAUCUGUACACACUUAUCUACAGCUCAGGAAAUCACCUUUGAAGGCCAUAUCUGGACCUGGGGUUAAGAAACCCUGGUUUGAGAAGCCUCAGUGAGAAUAGGAGUCUUGCUCUCUGCCUGCCUUCACUCUUAGCCCAAGGCCCUAAGCUGGUUCUUGAGUGUGAGUGGACUCCACAACUAAUUCCAUCUAGUGUAGUGAAAUGGGAUGGCAAAGGCAUGCCUUACUGUCUCUCAACGUUGGCUUCCCUCUUCCCUGUGAGACUCACAGGUAUGUAUACGUACAAAAUGUAUAGAAUUGCACGUCAUAAGAAUAAAAUAUGAAAACCUCUUUGUUAAGUAAUAGCACGUGUUGAAUUCAGAAACGACCCUUUGCUGUUCAUCAGGAUCAUGAAAUUCUAGAAUUGGAC
rnacentral:lncRNA from 1 species